AAAUUAGCUGUCAUGUUCACAGCAAAACUAAGAGGAAGGUACAGAGAUUUUCCAUAUACCUCCUGCCCCCACACAUGUAUAGCCUCUCCCAUUAUCAGCAUCCCGCACCAGAGUGGUACGUUUGUUACAAGUGAUGAGCCUACAUUGACACAUCAUAAUCACCCAAAGUCCACAGUUUACAUUAGGGUUCAUUCUUAGUGUUGUAUAGUCUAUGGGUUUGGGCAAAUGUAUA